rnacentral:rRNA from 1 species
AGAGUUUGAUCAUGGCUCAGGAUGAACGCUGGCGGCGUGCUUAACACAUGCAAGUCGAACGUGAGAGGUAGCAAUAGUGGUGAAAGUGGCGAACGGGUGAGUAACACGUAGGUAACCUGCCCUGAAGUGGGGGAUAACGACUGGAAACGGUCGCUAAUACCGCAUGAGUCCAUCGAAGCGGGAGUGAGAUGGAGAAAACUGAGGUGCUUCAGGAGGGGUCUGCGUCCGAUUAGCUAGUUGGUGAGGUUAAAAAGGGCUCACCAAGGCGACGAUCGGUAGCUGGUCUGAGAGGACGAUCAGCCACACGGGAACUGAGACACGGUCCCGACUCCUACGGGGGGCAGCAGUGAGGAAUAUUGGGCAAUGGGCGGAAGCCUGACCCAGCAACGCCGCGUGAAGGAUGAAGGCCUUCGGGUUGUAAACUUCUUUUAUGGGGGAAGAGAGAGGACGGUACCCCAGGAAUAAGUCACGGCUAACUACGUG